UACGUAGGGUGCGAGCAUUGUCCGGAAUUAUUGGGCGUAAAGAGCUUGUAGGCGGUUUGUCGCGUCUGCUGUGAAAAUCCGGGGCUCAACCCCGGACUUGCAGUGGGUACGGGCAGACUAGAGUGUGGUAGGGGAGACUGGAAUUCCUGGUGUAGCGGUGGAAUGCGCAGAUAUCAGGAGGAACACCGAUGGCGAAGGCAGGUCUCUGGGCCAUUACUGACGCUGAGAAGCGAAAGCAUGGGGAGCGAACAGG
rnacentral:rRNA from 1 species